GUCUAUGAAUAUUUCUGAGUAUUUUUCCUUUCAAUUUCCUUAGAUUGCUUUUCCUUUCUCUCAGUUAGGGUUCCAACCCUAACAAGUGGUUUCAGAGCCGUCUUCGAUCAUGGCGAAACUAAAGGGGGUCAGUAAGUCAAAUCCCGAUGAACCUGAGGUUUCUGGUGAGCUUGUUCACCUAGAGAUGGAAUUACAAAAUCAUCGAGAUGAGACCAGCAAUCGGCUAGAUGUUAUGCAUAGUGAUAUGCAAUCUACACUUGCAGAUUUUUAGAUCUAUGCUUAUGGAAGAAAUCAAGCAACAACUGAGCACUUUUGCUCAAUCUCAAGCUAUUGCUUCAGCUACUGCUGCAGCUACAGUGCAACAACCAAACCAAGGGGUGCAGGGUGACAACUAUGUGAGAUUUGGUUCCUUGGAGUCGCUAGUUCUACAGGCUAGGACCUUACAAGACAGAUCUGGAUCUUCCUCUACUAUGGCUAGAUCUGAAGGCUCAUCAACGGUGGUGACUUGACUUGGGGGUUCGGAGGAGGUCGUUGGUGAUCCACAAGAGUAGGCAACGGAGCUAGAGCUCUGGUUUGCGCUGCGUAAUUCGAGGU